rnacentral:tRNA from 1 species
UGCCCCGUGGCUGAGUUGGUUACAGCGUCCGACUGUUAUGGCAAUCGGAAGGUCGUGAGUUCGAGCCUCACCGGGGCAG